rnacentral:rRNA from 2 species
UGCAGUCGAGCGGAAAGGCCCUUCGGGGUACUCGAGCGGCGAACGGGUGAGUAACACGUGAGCAACCUGCCCCAGGCUUUGGGAUAACCCCGGGAAACCGGGGCUAAUACCGAAUAUGACCUCCGAUCGCAUGGUUGGUGGUGGAAAGUUUUUCGGCUUGGGAUGGGCUCGCGGCCUAUCAGCUUGUUGGUGGGGUGAUGGCCUACCAAGGCGACGACGGGUAGCCGGCCUGAGAGGGCGACCGGCCACACUGGGACUGAGACACGGCCCAGACUCCUACGGGAGGCAGCAGUGGGGAAUAUUGCACAAUGGGCGGAAGCCUGAUGCAGCGACGCCGCGUGAGGGAUGACGGCCUUCGGGUUGUAAACCUCUUUCAGCAGGGACGAAGCGUAAGUGACGGUACCUGCAGAAGAAGCGCCGGCCAACUACGUGCCAGCAGCCGCGGUAAGACGUAGGGCGCGAGCGUUGUCCGGAUUUAUUGGGCGUAAAGAGCUCGUAGGCGGCUUGUCGCGUCGACUGUGAAAACCCGCAGCUCAACUGCGGGCCUGCAGUCGAUACGGGCAGGCUAGAGUUCGGUAGGGGAGACUGGAAUUCCUGGUGUAGCGGUGAAAUGCGCAGAUAUCAGGAGGAACACCGGUGGCGAAGGCGGGUCUCUGGGCCGAUACUGACGCUGAGGAGCG